rnacentral:rRNA from 1 species
CCUACGGGUGGCAGCAGUGGGGAAUAUUGGGCAAUGGGCGCAAGCCUGAUCCAGCAACGCCGCGUGAAGGAAGAAGGCUUUCGGGUUGUAAACUUCUUUUGUCAGGGACGAAGCAAGUGACGGUACCUGUCGAAUAAGCCACGGCUAACUACGUUCCAGCAGCCGCGGUAAUACGUAGGUGGCAAGCGUUUUCCGGAUUUACUGGGUGUAAAGGGCGUGUAGCCGGGGUGACAAGUCAGAUGUGAAAUCCGGGGGCUCAACCCCUGAACUGCAUUUGAAACUGUUGGUGUUGAGGAUAGGAGAGGCAGGCGGAAUGCGUGGUGUAGCGGGGAAAGGCGUAGAUAUUAGGAGGAACAUCAGUGGCGAAGGCGGCAGGCUGGACGACAACUGACGGGGAUGAGCGAAAGCGUGGGGAGCAAACAGGAUUAGAUACCCCAGUAGUC